rnacentral:sRNA from 1 species
AGUUUUCGUCAAAGCCGACCUCCUCCCCGGCGAUGACGAAUCGGCCCGACCUUCACCUCCUCCCGAGGGUUGGCCACAAAAACGGCGCCCGCCGCACCUCCUCCCGCGGCGGGCGCUGUUU